UACAGAGGGGGCAAGCGUUGUUCGGAAUUACUGGGCGUAAAGGGCGCGUAGGCGGCCUUCUAAGUCGAACGUGAAAUCCCUGGGCUCAACCCAGGAACUGCGUCCGAUACUGGAAGGCUUGAAUCCGGGAGAGGGAUGUGGAAUUCCAGGUGUAGCGGUGAAAUGCGUAGAUAUCUGGAGGAACACCGGUGGCGAAGGCGACAUCCUGGACCGGUAUUGACGCUGAGGCGCGAAAGCCAGGGGAGCAAACGGG
rnacentral:rRNA from 1 species